rnacentral:rRNA from 1 species
UACGUAGGGUGCAAGCGUUGUCCGGAAUUAUUGGGCGUAAAGAGCUCGUAGGCGGUCUGUCGCGUCGGCUGUGAAAUCCCGAGGCUCAACCUCGGGUCUGCAGUCGAUACGGGCAAACUAGAGUAUUGCAGGGGAGACUGGAAUUCCUGGUGUAGCGGUGAAAUGCGCAGAUAUCAGGAGGAACACCGGUGGCGAAGGCGGAUCUCUGGGCCAUUACUGACGCUGAGGAGCGAAAGCGUGGGAAGCGAACAGG